rnacentral:misc_RNA from 1 species
AAAGCGGGGGCAACCCUGUGAGUAAAGUGGCUUUACGGUGAGUAACAAGAGGGUAAUCUACCCUUUAGUGUGGAAUAACCCUGGGAAACCGGAGCUAAUACCGCAUAAUCCCGAGAGGGGAAAGCAGCAAUGCGCUGAAGGAGGAGCCCGCGGCCGAUUAGUUAGUUGGCAGGGUAAAGGCCUACCAAGACUGAGAUCGGUAGCCGGCCUGAGAGGGCACACGGCCACACUGGCACUGAAACACGAGCCAGACUCCUACGGGAGGCAGCAGUGGG